GAUGAACGCUGGCGGCGUGCCUAAUACAUGCAAGUCGAGCGAACAGACGAGGAGCUUGCUCCUCUGACGUUAGCGGCGGACGGGUGAGUAACACGUGGAUAACCUACCUAUAAGACUGGGAUAACUUCGGGAAACCGGAGCUAAUACCGGAUAAUAUAUUGAACCGCAUGGUUCAAUAGUGAAAGACGGUUUUGCUGUCACUUAUAGAUGGAUCCGCGCCGCAUUAGCUAGUUGGUAAGGUAACGGCUUACCAAGGCAACGAUGCGUAGCCGACCUGAGAGGGUGAUCGGCCACACUGGAACUGAGGCACGGUCCAGACUCCUACGGGAGGCAGCAGUAGGGAAUCUUCCGCAAUGGGCGAAAGCUUGACGGAGCAACGCCGCGUGAGUGAUGAAGGUCUUCGGAUCGUAAAACUCUGUUAUUAGAGAAGAACAAAUGUGUAAGUAACUAUGCACGUCUUGACGGUACCUAAUCAGAAAGCCACGGCUAACUACGUG
rnacentral:rRNA from 1 species